ensembl:rRNA 5S_rRNA 5S ribosomal RNA
AACCACUGUUAUCUCAAUUUUAAAAAGACUCAGAAACUAAGCAGGGUCAGGCCUGGUUAGUACUUUGAUGGGAGACAACCUAGGAAGACCUGGUGCUGUAGACG